GCAGAUAGAGAGCACCAACCAGGUGCAGGGCAGUGGAGAAUUGAGCUGGAUUUCGGCUGCACAGUUACUUAAUGAGAAGCUGAAGACUGAAGCAGAAAUUCACAGUGCCUGGGUAUAUGAAAUCUGCCUUUUGGCCCUCCGAGGAAGUGUCUUGCUGUUUAUUCUACAUGAUCUCUCCUUGUCCUGGCCUGCUGUGCC